rnacentral:rRNA from 1 species
CCUACGGGUGGCAGCAGUCGAGAAUCAUUCACAAUGGGGGAAACCCUGAUGGUGCGACGCCGCGUGGGGGAAUGAAGGUCUUCGGAUUGUAAACCCCUGUCAUGUGGGAGCAAAUUAAAAAGAUAGUACCACAAGAGGAAGAGACGGCUAACUCAGUGCCAGCAGCCGCGGUAAUACAGAGGUCUCAAGCGUUGUUCGGAAUCACUGGGCGUAAAGCGUGCGUAGGCUGUUUCGUAAGUCGUGUGUGAAAGGCCCGGGCUCAACCCGCGGACGGCACAUGAUACUGCGAGACUAGAGUAAUGGAGGGGGAACCGGAAUUCUCGGUGUAGCAGUGAAAUGCGUAGAUAUCGAGAGGAACACUCGUGGCGAAGGCGGGUUCCUGGACAUUAACUGACGCUGAGGCACGAAGGCCAGGGGAGCGAAAGGGAUUAGAUACCCUUGUAGUC